UAUUCCAGACAGUCCAAGGUCCUGCAACUGGUUCUUGCAGCCCAAAAGCAGUGUGUGCUGCAACCUGCUGCCCAGGAGCUGAGCAUACUUGCACCUGUUUCACCUGUAGAAAGCACACCCAAUAAGUCAGGUCAAGUUUAAAUCGUACUUGCUUAAAUCAUUAAAAGAAUAGAUUACCCCAAAACAUGAAAAACUGAAAAUGCACUCACUCUCUGGCCAUCCAAGAUGUAGAUGAGCUUUGGAAUUAGCAUUACAUUGCUUUCUCACCAAUGGAUCCUUUGCAGUGAUUACUUGUGGUUUAUUUGGUUUUUAUCUGCUCUUUGAAAUCUCAUUCUGAUGGAACUCAUUCACUGCAGAGGAUCCAUUGUUAAGCAAAUGAUGUAAUGCUAAAUUUCUCCAAAUCUUUUUUGAUGGAUAAACAAACUCAUCUACAUCUUGAGGUUGAGUGCAUUUUUAGCACAUUUUCAUUUUGGGGGGGCAAAGUAUUUCUUUGAAGUGUUAACAAAGGGAAUUAUAUGCUCUUUCUUUCUCAGCUGUAAAAGAGAAAAAACCCUACAUUGUUCUCCCUCCUCCUGAAGGCUACAUCAUUAAUAGUGAGGAGGAUUUGGUCCAAUCACCAUCCAAUCCAGAUCCUAUUGACUCAAGAGGACACCCCAGCCGAUGCUGACCAUAAAGUAUCCACCCCUCCAGCAGAGGGCGAUGUGCUGGAGAAAACAGAUGUUUCACAUCCCAGUGAAUAAGGGGACACUGGAAGCUCAGUCAGCACAGAGCGGCUCAGCAAGAACAGAAAGAGGGGAAAACAUUACAAAAAAAAAAAAAACCUCGUUGGAUUGGUGCCUCGAGCAAGAGCUGUUGAAUUCAUGUAUGCACAGAGUGGAGAUGGAAAUUCAGAGGAGGUGCUCGACUUCCUUCGUACCACACACGAGAUCUACCUCUCUGAUCGCAAAUCAUCUGGCUCCUGUGUAG
rnacentral:lncRNA from 1 species